CUGGAAACGAACGGAAAUGGCUAACUCCUUCCGUCAUUCCUUCGCUAUUACAACUAACGCGGGUCACUUUGCUCCUGUGAUGCUGCAAUUCCGGCGCUUUUCAACUUCUGUGGUGUGCCCAGCAAUGAUAAAAGUAAAAGAGUGCCAGUUUCCUGUCCCAUGGGGUCACAUCGCAGCCAAGUCCUGGGGUAGUAAAGAUGGUCUACCUGUACUUUGCCUUCAUGGCUGGUUAGAUAAUGCCAACUCUUUCAGCAGACUGAUCCCAUUGCUUCCUCAAGAUCGACAUUAUGUGGCCAUUGAUUUCCCAGGCCAUGGCUUGUCAUCUCACAGACCAGCAGGCACUUUUUAUAUCCUCCCAAAGUACAUCAGUGAUAUAUGCAGAGUGACAAAUGUUUUAGGUUGGGAACGAUUUUCUGUGAUUGGCCAUAGCAUGGGUGGCAGUGUUGGCUGUCUGUUCAGUGCUCUGUUUCCUGACAUGGUAGACAAAGUAAUUCUCAUAGACUCCUAUGGAUUUUUACCCACAAAGGCAAGCCUACCAGAUGUAGUACAGAAAGGAAUUGUAGAAUUACUGAAAUAUGAAAAACAGAAAAGGCCAAACAAAGUGUACAGCGAGCAAGCAGCCAUUGAAAGGUUGAUGAGUGCUAACCCAUCUCUGUCUGAGAGCUCUGCCCAUAUCUUAUUGGAAAGAGGCACCACUAAGGUGGACGGAGGUGUCCAUUUCAACAGAGAUUUUCGGAUUAAUCUGCCUGGAAUUGUACGCAUGACUAUCGAACAGGUCCUGGAAUUACAGAAGAGAAUAACAGCCAAACUACUGAUUAUCUUAGCCAAUGACGGGAUGGUCAAAAUAAAGGAGAUGCAGCUUGAUAAAUCAGAUGUGGACAAGAUGCUUAACGGCUACAGAGAAAGUGUCAGAGAGGACUGACUGCAAGAGCCAUUACCCUGUCCCAGCACUGGGCACAAGGCAGACACUGGGAGAACAUGCACGCUUCACACAAGCAGUGCCCAGGCUGGCAUUUAACCCAGGAUGCUGGAGCUAUGCUGCUAUCACGGCAGCCUUAGAUAUUUUUUAAAUAUGUGGAUGAACAAAGGAGGCAAAUAGUAAAUAUUCGGUGAUGUCUACUGACUAAUUUGGGAUUGACCAUUGGAAGUGAUGCAUUCUUUUGACACAAUUUGUGACUCAGUGAAGCAGACAGAAAGGCACAAGAAUGUGUAGACGAGUACAGACGUACACACAGAAGGAAAGUUUCAUUUAGAAAUGGUUCCUGGAUAUCACCACGUCCAUCUGAACAGCCCAGAGAAUGUAGCAGAAAUCAUCUCCUCUUUUCUCAACACCCC